AAUAUCCUUUUAACAAAUUAUGCGUAUUUAAGGAGAUAGGGCUGUGCAUGCGCAGAACGUAUCUCCUUACCUUUGCACUUUUUGGUAAGAAUAUGUUAACGAAAGUUGUUCGUCUUAUGAGGGCUACAACUUUGCUUAAUAUCCUUUUAACAAAUUAUGCGUAUUUAAGGAGAUAGCGCUGCGCAUGCGCAGAACGUAUCUCCUUAGCUUUGCACUUUUUGGUAAGAAGAUGUU
rnacentral:miRNA from 1 species